rnacentral:rRNA from 1 species
UCCUGCCCUAAACGAUGUCCACUAGGUCGAGGUUCUCUGACGGAGUUUCGGCCGAAACAAAAGCGUUAAGUGGACCGCCUGGGGAGUACGGUCGCAAGGCUAAAACUCAAAGGAAUUGACGGGGGCUCACACAAGCGGUGGAGCAUGUGCUUAAUUCGAUACAACGCGAAGAACCUUAUCCUGGGCUUGACAUGCAGGAUACCCCCUGGAAACAGGGUUGGUUGCCU